AGGGUUUGAUCAUGGCUCAGGACGAACGCUGGCGGCGUGCUUAACACAUGCAAGUCGAACGGUGAAAGCGGAGCUUGCUCCGCUGGAUCAGUGGCGAACGGGUGAGUAACACGUGGGCAACCUGCCCCAGACUUCGGGAUAACUCUUCGAAAGAGGCGCUAAUACCGGAUAUGAACUCUGCAGGCAUCUGCGGAGUUGGAAAGUUUUUCGGUCUGGGAUGGGCCCGCGGCCUAUCAGCUAGUUGGUGAGGUAGUGGCUCACCAAGGCGACGACGGGUAGCCGGCCUGAGAGGGCGACCGGCCACACUGGGACUGAGACACGGCCCAGACUCCUACGGGAGGCAGCAGUGGGGAAUAUUGCGCAAUGGGCGAAAGCCUGACGCAGCAACGCCGCGUGCGGGAUGAAGGCCUUCGGGUUGUAAACCGCUUUCAGCAGGGAAGAAGCGAAAGUGACGGUACCUGCAGAAGAAGCACCGGCUAACUACGUGCCAGCCGCCGCGGUAAUA
rnacentral:rRNA from 1 species